rnacentral:rRNA from 1 species
GGGGAAUUUUCCGCAAUGGGCGAAAGCCUGACGGAGCAAUACCGCGUGAGGGAGGAAGGCUCUUGGGUUGUAAACCUCUUUUCUCAGGGAAGAAAAAAAUGACGGUACCUGAGGAAUAAGCAUCGGCUAACUCCGUGCCAGCAGCCGCGGUAAUACGGAGGAUGCAAGCGUUAUCCGGAAUGAUUGGGCGUAAAGCGUCCGCAGGUGGCUAUGUAAGUCUGCUGUUAAAGAGUGAGGCUCAACCUCAUAAGAGCAGUGGAAACUACAUAGCUAGAGUGCGUUCGGGGCAGAGGGAAUUCCUGGUGUAGCGGUGAAAUGCGUAGAGAUCAGGAAGAACACCGGUGGCGAAAGCGCUCUGCUAGGCCGCAACUGACACUGAGGGACGAAAGCUAGGGGAGCGAAUGGGAUUAGAUACCCCAGUAGUCCUAGCCGUAAACGAUGGAUACUAGGCGUGGCUUGUAUCGACCCGAGCCGUGCUGGAGCUAACGCGUUAAGUAUCCCGCCUGGGGAGUACGCACGCAAGUGUGAAACUCAAAGGAAUUGACGGGGGCCCGCACAAGCGGUGGAGUAUGUGGUUUAAUUCGAUGCAACGCGAAGAACCUUACCAAGACUUGACAUGUCGCGAACCCUCUGGAAAGGGAGGGGUGCCUUCGGGAGCGCGAACACAGGUGGUGCAUGGCUGUCGUCAGCUCGUGUCGUGAGAUGUUGGGUUAAGUCCCGCAACGAGCGCAACCCUCGUUUUUAGUUGCCAGCAUUAAGUUGGGCACUCUAGAGAGACUGCCGGUGACAAACCGGAGGAAGGUGGGGAUGACGUCAAGUCAGCAUGCCCCUUACGUCUUGGGCUACACACGUACUACAAUGCUACGGACAAAGGGCAGCGAGCUAGCGAUAGCAAGCAAAUCUCAUAAACCGUGGCUCAGUUCAGAUCGCAGGCUGCAACUCGCCUGCGUGAAGGAGGAAUCGCUAGUAAUUGCAGGUCAGCAUACUGCAGUGAAUUCGUUCCCGGGCCUUGUACACACCGCCCGUCACACCAUGGAAGCUGGCAACGCCCGAAGUCAUUACUCCAACCAUUCGUGGGGGAGGAUGCCGAAGGCAGUGCUGGUGACUGGGGUGAAGUCGUAACAAGGUAGCCGUACCGGAAGGUGUGGCUGGAUCACCUCCUU